AAAGAAAGAAGAAGGAAGAGGAAAAAAAGCAUUUUUUUGCUUUUCUUGAUCUCUCUCUUCUUUUUUUUGAAGAAUUGCCAUAAUAUACACUCUGCUCAAAUCCAAAUCUGAGUCAUUGCCUUGAGUGCUGGUAGUUCAUUUGUGCAGGGAUCCAGGACACCAGAGUGAGGAAGCAGAGAAGUGGAACAGGCAAGAGCGAAAAGCCAAUGUAAGUGAGCACGCCUCCUGGAGUUGCUGCUGCGGGCAACAGGGUCUCCAGCCCCCUGGACUUUCCAGGAAGCAGACAGAAUAUUCUCCCUUAAAGGCCUGGAGUCUGAAGCACAUAACCAUCAGUCCUUCUCACCCAGGGGUAUUAACUCACAUCUCCCACUUGUAGCUAUUCUUGUAUUCAUCAGGCACACUCCCACCACCUUGGAGGAGAGCUGUGAAAGCAGAAUGCAGGAAGAUGUCUGCUCUUGAGAUGGGAAGCAAGGUGAAUCUGAGAUUGUGUGAAACUCUUCCACACUCUUGUGACUGAAAUCAGAGGAGCGUUUGGGCUCCUCCCUCUUCUCUGCAUGCCCUUCCUUCCAUGAUAAGCAACUGUUGGAACCCACCCUUUGGAACUCAGGGAAGAUCUUGGAGCCUGAAGCUUAUUCCCUAAAAACAAGAAAUGGGGGACAGAAAUGCUCAGGUGCCCAGAAGCCCCAAAGGGCCCUGUUUGUUUUCAGAACAAGCUACACUCCUCAUGACUGCAACAGGUCCUAGCUCAUCAUUGAUAUUUGUCCUCUCCCUCCUUCACAUUCAUUCUAGAUUCUCAUUAUCCUUAGUUAGAAACUGAGCUGACUUCAUUUGCCUCCCUGAUGGAGGAACCUAGACCUUCACCCCUGAGGGGUUCGAGCUUGUAGUUGUCUUUUCCUUAUCAUUCCAUUAUCUGGUAAUGUUGAAAUUCCACUUCUUCCAUUCUCCCGUGGCAUAGAAGCAUCACAAGUUCUCAUAAAUACCAGCUAUCCUAACUCCACGUGAUAAGUAGGAUCAGUCAUUACAACCAGGAUGGGAACUCCCUUGUCCACCAGCUUGAGGAGCCCAAAGUGACCAGGUGGCAGUUAGAGUUUUAGGUUCAGUGGACCACAUCCUGUGUGCCCUGGUACUGAUGCUUUCUCAUUGAGUUGUCAGAAUUUAGCAUCUCGAGUUCUGGAAGCACAAAACCUGCAGGUGGAUAGCUGAGAGAGGGAAGGAGGGCUCGGCCACAGUGAAAAUAAAUUCUCAGCAUUGUGUGACAAUAUAAGGAAUGCCAACAGUGGCCUUGUUUGCACCAUGUAACCACUUCUACUUGGCCACAGUUGGUUGGACCUGAUAUCUUCACUCACAGGAAUUGGAAAUUGAAUCUUAGGGAAUGCAAGCUACAUUUUGUGGAUGGCUUGCCAUUGAGGACAGAAUAACAGAGAAGGAGAGAGAAGGCAGGCAGGCAGAGGCAAAGACACAGCGGAUGACAAGAGUAAGUCCUGAAGGUUUCAGUGCCUCUAAAAGUCCCUUUCUUCUAUGGACUAACUGUUUGCGUCCCUCAAAAAGUCACACUUUGAAUACCCUAAUCCCAGCUUGAUGGUGUUUGGAGAUGGGGCCUUUGCGAAGCUAUCAGGUCAUGAGAGUGGAACCGUUAUGAAUGGAAUUGGUGCCCUUAUAAGAAAUGGCCAGAGAGCGCCCUCUCUCUUUUUCCACCAUGGGAAGACACAGCAAGAAGAUGGUUAUCUGUCAACCAAGGGUCUUCACCAAGAACCUGACCAUGCCAGCACCCUGACCUUGGAUUCCCAGUCUCCAGAACUGUGAGAAAUUAAUAUUGUCUUAGCCACCUAGUCCAUGGUAAUUUGUUAGAGCAGCCUCAACUGACUAAGAUACUUUCUGAAGAUAUAAUCCUGUCCAUUGGCUCCAUGAGAACAUCACUCAUUGGUUAACAUUUUUUUCUUCAGAAAUAAUGUUUAAACAAACAGAAAAAAGUGUGUAUUCACUGAAUAUGAUGUUAUAUAUGCAGGAAUUCUACCAAGAAAAUAUACACAUUAUUAGAAAAUUGCUUUAGCUUGGUUUUCAAUCUCCUCUUUCUGAGGCAGUAUCCUUGUGAUCUUUCAUGGAUGUUGAUAGCCUUAAAUUCCCUCCCUCUUCUCACCCCGCAGCACAGCUUUACAGUUUCCUAGGUUGGAUCUCUGAUAUUCUUGGUUGAUGUAAAUAGGCUGAUGAUCUAUUAGG